rnacentral:rRNA from 1 species
GAUAAACGCUGGCGGCGUGCCUAAUGCAUGCAAGUCGAACGGAUAGAAGUCUUCGGACGACUAUUAGUGGCAAACGGGUGAGUAACACGUGGGGAUCUGCCCAGUAGUGGGGAACAACUCCGAGAAAUCGGAGCUAAUACCGCAUACGGUAGGUGUUGAGGAACACCAUACUAAAGCCUCAGCAAUGGGGCGCUAUUGGAGGAACCUGCGGCUGAUUAGCUAGUUGGUGGGGUAAAGGCCUACCAAGGCGAUGAUCAGUAGCUGGUCUGAGAGGAUGGACAGCCACACUGGGACUGAGAUACGGCCCAGACUCCUACGGGAGGCAGCAGCAAGGAAUUUUCGUCAAUGGGGGAAACCCUGAACGAGCAACGCCGCGUGGGCGAAGAAGUC